rnacentral:rRNA from 1 species
GAUGAACGCUGGCGGCGUGCCUAAUACAUGCAAGUCGAGCGAACAGAUAAGGAGCUUGCUCCUUUGACGUUAGCGGCGGACGGGUGAGUAACACGUGGGUAACCUACCUAUAAGACUGGGAUAACUUCGGGAAACCGGGGCUAAUACCGGAUAACAUUUGGAACCGCAUGGUUCUAAAGUGAAAGAUGGUUUUGCUAUCACUUAUAGAUGGACCCGCGCCGUAUUAGCUAGUUGGUAAGGUAACGGCUUACCAAGGCGACGAUACGUAGCCGACCUGAGAGGGUGAUCGGCCACACUGGAACUGAGACACGGUCCAGACUCCUACGGGAGGCAGCAGUAGGGAAUCUUCCGCAAUGGGCGAAAGCCUGACGGAGCAACGCCGCGUGAGUGAUGAAGGGUUUCGGCUCGUAAAACUCUGUUAUUAGGGAAGAACAAAUGUGUAAGUAACUGUGCACGUCUUGACGGUACCUAAUCAGAAAGCCACGGCUAACUACGUG